rnacentral:rRNA from 1 species
AACGCGAAGAACCUUACCUGGGCUCGAACGGCUUAAGACCGGGGUGGAAACACCCUCUCCCCUUAAAAGGCUUGAGUCGAGGUGCUGCAUGGCUGUCGUCAGCUCGUGUCGUGAGAUGUUGGGUUAAGUCCCGCAACGAGCGCAACCCUUGUCCUGUGUUGCCAUCAUUUAGUUGGGCACUCUCAGGAGACCGCCAGCGAUAAGCUGGAGGAAGGUGGGGAUGAUGUCAAGUCAUCAUGGCCUUUAUGUCCAGGGCUACACACGUGCUACAAUGGCCGGUACAAAGCGCUGCAAACUCGCAAGAGGGAGCUAAUCGCAAAAAACCGGUCUCAGUUCGGAUCGCAGGCUGCAACUCGCCUGCGUGAAGCUGGAAUCGCUAGUAAUGCCGUAUCAGAACGAUGGCGUGAAUACGUUCCCGGGCCUUGUA